GGCUCCGGUAUGACAUAGUGGUUUGAACAUUAGACUGCAACUCUAAAGACCAGGGUUUGAAUCCCUGCAUGGCCA